AAGAACCCCUGUGAGGGGAGUGAAAUAGAUCCUGAAACCGCAUGCAUACAAGCAGUGGGAGCACCUUCGUGGUGUGACUGCGUACCUUUUGUAUAAUGGGUCAGCGACUUAUAUUCAGUAGCGAGGUUAACCGUAUAGGGGAGCCGUAGAGAAAUCGAGUCUUAAUAGGGCGUUUAGUUGCUGGGUAUAGACCCGAAACCAGGCGAUCUAUCCAUGAGCAGGUUGAAGGUUGGGUAACACUAACUGGAGGACCGAACCCACUGUCGUUGAAAAGCCAGGGGAUGACUUGUGGAUAGGGGUGAAAGGCUAAUCAAGCCUGGUGAUAGCUGGUUCUCCCCGAAAGCUAUUUAGGUAGCGCCUCGGACGAAUACCAUAGGGGGUAGAGCACUGUUUCGGCUAGGGGGUCAUCCCGACUUACCAAACCGAUGCAAACUCCGAAUACCUAUGAGUACUAUCCGGGAGACAGACUGCGGGUGCUAACGUCCGUAGUCAAGAGGAAAACAAUCCAGACCGCCAGCUAAGGCCCCAAAAUCAUAGUUAAGUGGGAAACGAUGUGGGAAGGCAUAGACAGCUAGGAGGUUGGCUUAGAAGCAGCCACCCUUUAAAGAAAGCGUAAUAGCUCACUAGUCGAGUCGGCCUGCGCGGAAGAUGUAACGGGGCUAAAACUAUGUGCCGAAGCUGCGGAUGUAUACUUUGUAUACGUGGUAGGGGAGCGUUCUGUAAGCCGAUGAAGGUGUGUUGAGAAGCAUGCUGGAGGUAUCAGAAGUGCGAAUGCUGACGUGAGUAACGACAAAACGGGUGAAAAACCCGUUCGCCGAAAGACCAAGGGUUCCAGUCCAACGUUAAUCGGGGCUGGGUGAGUCGACCCCUAAGGCGAGGCCGAAAGGCGUAGUCGAUGGGAAAAUGGUUAAUAUUCCAUUACUUCUGUGUAAUGCGAUGAGAGGACGGAGAAGGCUAAAUCAGCCUGGCGUUGGUUGUCCAGGUGAAAGGAUGUAGGCAUGUAUCUUAGGCAAAUCCGGGGUACUCUAUGCUGAGAUCUGAUAGCAAGCUGUACUUGUACAGCGAAGUGGUUGAUGCCAUGCUUCCAGGAAAAGUCUCUAAGCUUCAGUUACACAGGAAUCGUACCCGAAACCGACACAGGUGGUCAGGUCGAGUAGACCAAGGCGCUUGAGAGAACUCUGCUGAAGGAACUAGGCAAAAUGGUACCGUAACUUCGGGAGAAGGUACGCUGUUGUUGGUGAUGGAACUCGCUUCCUGAGCUGACGACAGCCGCAGAAACCAGGCCGCUGCAACUGUUUAUUAAAAACAUAGCACUCUGCAAACACGAAAGUGGACGUAUAGGGUGUGAUGCCUGCCCGGUGCUGGAAGGUUAAUUGAUGGGGUUAGCGUAAGCGAAGCUCUU
rnacentral:rRNA from 1 species